rnacentral:rRNA from 1 species
GACGAACGCUGGCGGCGCGCCUAACACAUGCAAGUCGAACGGGGUGCGUCCGAAUGAAGUUUUCGGAUGGAAUUUGGAUGUACCUAGUGGCGAACGGGUGAGUAACACGUGAAUAACCUGCCCUGGAGUGGGGGACAACAGUUGGAAACGACUGCUAAUACCGCAUAAGCCCACAGAGCCGCAUGGCUCAGGGGGAAAAGGAGCAAUUCGCUUCAGGAUGGAUUCGCGUCCAAUUAGCUGGAUGGUGAGGUAACGGCCCACCAUGGCGACGAUUGGUAGCCGGACUGAGAGGUUGAUCGGCCACAUUGGGACUGAGACACGGCCCAGACUCCUACGGGAGGCAGCAGUGGGGAAUAUUGCACAAUGGGGGAAACCCUGAUGCAGCGACGCCGCGUGGAGGAAGAAGGUCUUCGGAUUGUAAACUCCUGUCGUUGGGGACGAUAAUGACGGUACCCAACAAGAAAGCCACGGCUAACUACGUG